AAUGAACGUUGGCGGCGUGGAUUAGGCAUGCAAGUCGAGCGUACCCAGCAAUGGGGAAGCGGCAAACGGGGUAGUAAGGCGUCGGUACGUGCCCUCGGGACGAGGAUAGCCACGGGAAACUGUGGGUAAUACUCGAUGAUCUCGUGAGAGCAAAGGUGUGAUUCCGCCAGGGGAGCGGCCGACGUGGUAUUAGGUAGUUGGUGGGGUAAUGGCCCACCAAGCCUGGGAUGCCUAGGGGGUGUGAGAGCAUGGCCCCCACCAUUGGGACUGAGAUACUGCCCAGACACCUACGGGUGGCUGCAGUCGAGAAUCUUCGGCAAUGGGCGCAAGCCUGACCGAGCGACGCCGCGUGCGGGAUGAAGGCCUUGGUUGUAACCGCUGUCAGAGGGA
rnacentral:rRNA from 1 species